rnacentral:rRNA from 1 species
CAGUCGCCACGGUAAUACGGAGGGGGCUAGCGUUGUUCGGAAUUACUGGGCGUAAAGCGCACGUAGGCGGCUUUGUAAGUCAGAGGUGAAAGCCCGGGGCUCAACCCCGGAAUUGCCUUUGAGACUGCAUCGCUUGAAUCCAGGAGAGGUGAGUGGAAUUCCGAGUGUAGAGGUGAAAUUCGUAGAUAUUCGGAAGAACACCAGUGGCGAAGGCGGCUCACUGGACUGGUAUUGACGCUGAGGUGCGAAAGCGUGGGGAGCAAACAGGAUUAGAUACCCCAGUAGUCCCUGUCUCUUAUAC